rnacentral:tRNA from 1 species
UUGGAUUUAAACCCCAAAUAUAAAGCUUAACCUUUUUUUAGAA